AGUCGAGGGGCAGCAUGGUCUUAGCUUGCUAAGGCCGUUGGCGACCCGCUAACGGGUGAGUAACGCGUAUCCAACCUGCCUUACACUCUUGGACAGCCUUCUGAAAGGGAGAUUAAUACAAGAUGUUAUCAUGAGUAAGCAUUUUCGCAUGAUUAAAGGUUUACCGGUGUAAGAUGGGGAUGCGUUCCAUUAGAUAGUAGGCGGGGUAACGGCCCACCUAGUCUUCGAUGGAUAGGGGUUCUGAGAGGAAGGUCCCCCACAUUGGAACUGAGACACGGUCCAAACUCCUACGGGAGGCAGCAGUGAGGAAUAUUGGUCAAUGGACGAGAGUCUGAACCAGCCAAGUAGCGUGAAGGAUGAAGGUUCUAUGGAUUGUAAACUUCUUUUAUACGGGAAUAAACGAAUCCACGUGUGGAUUUUUGCAUGUACCGUAUGAAUAAGGAUCGGCUAACUCCGUGCCAGCAGCCGCGGUAAUACGGAGGAUCCGAGCGUUAUCCGGAUUUAUUGGGUUUAAAGGGAGCGUAGAUGGGUUGUUAAGUCAGUUGUGAAAGUUUGCGGCUCAACCGUAAAAUUGCAAUUGAUACUGGCAGUCUUGAGUACAGUUGAGGUAGGCGGAAUUCGUGGUGUAGCGGUGAAAUGCUUAGAUAUCACGAAGAACUCCGAUUGCGAAGGCAGCUCACUAACCUGUAACUGACAUUGAUGCUCGAAAGUGUGGGUAUCAAACAGGAUUAGAUACCCUGGUAGUCCACACGGUAAACGAUGAAUACUCGCUGUAGGCGAUAUACAGUCUGCGGCCGAGCGAAAGCAUUAAGUAUUCCAC
rnacentral:rRNA from 1 species